ensembl:misc_RNA Metazoa_SRP Metazoan signal recognition particle RNA
GCCGGGCGUGGUGGCGGGCGCCUGUAGUCCCAGCUACUCGGGAGGCUGAGGCGGGAGAAUCACUUGAACCCGGGAGGCGGAGGUUGCAGUGAGCCAACAUUGUGCCACUGCAGUCCAGCCUGGGUGACAGAGUGAGACUCUGUCUAAA